rnacentral:rRNA from 1 species
GACCUCAAAUCAGGUAGGACUACCCGCUGAACUUAAGCAUAUCAAUAAGCGGAGGAAAAGAAACUAACAAGGAUUCCCCUAGUAACUGCGAGUGAAGCGGGAAAAGCUCAAAUUUAAAAUCUGGCGGUCCCUGUGGCCGUCCGAGUUGUAAUUUAGAGAAGUGUUAUCCGCGCUGGACCGUGUACAAGUCUCCUGGAAUGGAGCGUCAUAGAGGGUGAGAAUCCCGUCUUUGACACGGACUGCCAGGGCAUUGCGAUACGCUCUCAAAGAGUCGAGUUGUUUGGGAAUGCAGCUCAAAAUGGGUGGUAAAUUCCAUCUAAAGCUAAAUAUUGGGGAGAGACCGAUAGCGAACAAGUACCGUGAGGGAAAGAUGAAAAGAACUUUGGAAAGAGAGUUAAACAGUACGUGAAAUUGCUGAAAGGGAAACGCUUGAAGUCAG